rnacentral:rRNA from 1 species
UACGGGGGGGGCAAGCGUUGUUCGGAAUUACUGGGCGUAAAGGGCUCGUAGGCGGCCAACUAAGUCCGACGUGAAAUCCCCAGGCUUAACCUGGGAACUGCGUCGGAUACUGGAUGGCUUGAAUCCGGGAGAGGGAUGCGGAAUUCCAGGUGUAGCGGUGAAAUGCGUAGAUAUCUGGAGGAACACCGGUGGCGAAGGCGGCAUUCUGGACCGAUAUUGACGCUGAGGAGCGAAAGCCAGGGGAGCAAACGGG